AGAGGAGGAUGGGGAGAGGCUCCUUUCCACAGCUGAGCAGCACAGAAACGUUUCUGCAAGUUUGGAGCAAAGGGAUGUUACCUGGGAGGAAGCACUGAGCACAGGCAAGGAUCCAUUGCAAAGCACGUCCAGUAAAGGAAGACCUUUAUUCUUUCUUACUCACAAGAAAUAUCUGUCAAGUCACUGAGUGGUUUGAUUGAAUGAGAGCAGUGAAACUGCUUUCUAUGGUGGAAGAUUUUUAAAAAGAGAGGCUCUGAACUGAACGACUACCCCCUGACAACUCUGUAGAAAGGAACAUAGGCAAAAUUGAGCCAUGGGGUUCUAAAGCUAAAAUCUUAAAAGUUCCCUUGACCCUAUAUCUGAUCCCAGGAGCCUUUGAGAGUCUCUGAGUUGGCACCUCAAAUUUUGGCCAGCACCUGAAAUUAUGCUUUUUCCACUGAAACAGGCUGAAGUCUAGACAGGACUCAAGUACCUUGACAGGUAGCCCCAUGUUAGCCUGACCAUUCCCCCUAAUAUUAAUAAACUUUAACACGUAUUUCUCCUGUGGUGAAAUAAUCCCCUCCCAUGUGCUGGAAGCGCCAACCAUCUGCCAAGGAAAUCAGCCCUCGGUGAGAAAGUGCCCUGUGUCCAACUCACUCUGCUUGCCUGUCUCUGGGAGAACAGCCCAGCAGCAGCAGUGCUUGGGCUCUGCUCUUCCUGGGCUCCUGUUUUAUCAUGAGCAAUGUGAAUGCUUUGCAAUGGUUUCAGCAAAUGCACCAAAUGAGGACUGCGUUGUGACAACUGUUGGGAGACGGUGCUUGGGUUUUGUAUUCUCAGAGAUGCUGAGGGACUGGAGGAGCCUGGCAAAUCUACAGUGCAGAGGGCAAAUAACCAACCUGGUGUGGCUGGCUGAAAUUUGCCUGUGUUGUCUGGCUGGUUUAGAGGGUUCCCUGCCCUGAACCUUCUUUUGGGGACUGGGUUGCUGUCCCAGAAGAAGUUCUUCUGGAGCUGUAAAUGCAGUCCCAUGCAGCAGCACAGCUGCCAGCUGGCCUAUAUUGCCAAGCAGAGCUGCUUGCUGGGGCUCACAUGCUUUAAAGUCUUAGCCUGGGUCUCAGUGGAAACAAGGAGGAGAAUGAUUUGACACACAUUCCCCUGAUUUGACAUACUGUGUGCUUACAACAUGGUGUGUCCUCCACAGGAAAUCCAAAGUACAUGUUGCUGUGCAGGCACAAAUCUGACUGUUCCCGAUAAACUGUUCAUGUGGAAAGAUACAAUUUUCAUGGUUGUCAUCAAAGCCAGUGUAUGUAUUCAUUUGUGGAAGCAUGUCAGACACCAUAUGUCACUAAUAUGCCUUUGAUAUGAUGGUGUCUGAAUCAUUUUUUUAACUAUCGAAUGGCAUAUGUUUAAAUGUAAGCAUCUGUUCUGUGUUUGUACUGACUCUAUUAUUUAUUCUUUAUUUCUUAUUUUCUUUUGACUAAAAGUUUGAUUUAAACCUAGAAAAAGUGUGGGAUUCAUCUUAUUUUUAAAGAAGUAGAAUUUUGGUAGUAUUUCAGCAUGUGGCCAAUGUGUAUCUUCUCAAGGACGAGAAGGUAAUUUAAAAGAUAAUUUUUCUCUUUUCAGUAAUCAGAAAAAAAUCAGUUCCCAGGCAAAACAAAGAUUAUAUUUGGAUUAUAUUUGACUACAAGUUUGUUAAAUGAAAAAAAUAUUGUUUUAGUGUUGAGCAGGUUCUGCAAUGUAUGGAUUUGCUGAAAAUAAGUCCUUGUAAGAGCCAUAUGUUACACCAUGAUGACAGUAAAUUGGUUCUAUGCAGAAACUUUUCUGAUUCAGUUAAAGAACUUGC